rnacentral:lncRNA from 1 species
AAUUUUUAUUUGUGUCUGGAUCUGUGUAGAAGCAGGGAUAGAAGUAUAGUGUUGUGUGUUAGAGAGUUGGCGGUGGGCUUCAAAGAGGGUUAGGGUUAGGGUUAGGGUUAGGGUUAGGUUAGGGUUAGGGUUAGGGUUAGGGUUAGGUUAGGGUUAGGGUUAGGGUUAGGUUAGGGUUAGGGUUAGGAGGGUUUAUGUUUGUGUUGGUGUCAAACCUUAGGUUGCACGGGCCUAUUGCACCCCCUACCGGCCCGGAGAAAGUGGGAGGGCAUGAGAGACUGAGCGCUCCGAGGGGCCAUCCACAACAAUUCAAAAGUAGGAGGAGGACAAUCAUCCAAAAACCACCUGGGAGUAAAAUGUUUAACCUUAAACCAAAUUUCAUAUAAAAUCACAUUAAAACAUGCAUACCAGAUCAAUAGGC